CCUUCCGUGGGAACAAUCCACACACGUCUCGAUACCGUUGUCGGGGUGCCUGCGCCGGACGCUACGCCGUCCCCGCGGGUCGCCAACGUUGGAGGCGUGGAGGUCACAAC
rnacentral:sRNA from 1 species